GCGGGCGUAGCUUAAUUGGUAGAGCGUUAGUUUGUGGUGCUGAAUGUUGCCAGUUCGAUUCUGGUCGCUCGCC
rnacentral:tRNA from 1 species